rnacentral:rRNA from 1 species
UACGUAGGGUGCAAGCGUUGUCCGGAAUUAUUGGGCGUAAAGAGCUCGUAGGCGGUCUGUCGCGUCUGCUGUGAAAACUCAGGGCUUAACCCUGAGCUUGCAGUGGGUACGGGCAGACUAGAGUGCGGUAGGGGAGACUGGAAUUCCUGGUGUAGCGGUGAAAUGCGCAGAUAUCGGGAGGAACACCAAUUGCGAAGGCAGCUUGCUGGGACGGUACUGACGCUGAGGCACGAAAGCGUGGGGAUCAAACAGG